UAGCAGGGGUGCAAACGUUGCUCGGAAUCAUUGGGCGUAAAGGGCGCGUAGGCGGUUUGCUAAGUUGAAUGUGAAAACUCUGGGCUUAACCCAGAGCCUGCAUUCAAUACUGGCAGGCUAGAGUUCUGGAGGGGAUAGCGGAAUUCCUGGUGUAGCGGUGAAAUGCGUAGAUAUCAGGAGGAACACCGGUGGCGAAGGCGGCUAUCUGGACAGAGUCUGGACGCUGAGGCGCGAAAGCUAGGGAGCAAACAGG
rnacentral:rRNA from 1 species